rfam:[Clostridium] stercorarium subsp. stercorarium DSM 8532 chromosome, complete genome.
AUGUUCCUGAAAUGUCCGACCGACCUCUAAUUUUGAACCGGCAAAUAUGAAAAGGGAGCCCGGAGUCUUUAUUAGGAGCACAGGCCCCAAUUAAUUUGGGCAACGGUGAAUAACCGCUGUCCGGCAGGGGAAGUGUGAAUAAUAAAGCAGGGCACCCACCUGGCGGAAUGCUGGGUGUCAAAAUAUAGAGGAACGGCAUUUUGGGGCAUGG